rnacentral:rRNA from 1 species
GACGAACGCUGGCGGCGUGCUUAACACAUGCAAGUCGAACGGUGAAGCGCCUUCCUUUUUGGUGGGUGUGGAUGAGUGGCGAACGGGUGAGUAACACGUGAGUAACCUGCCCCCUUCUUCUGGAUAACCGCAUGAAAGUGUUGCUAAUACGGGAUAUUCUGGGUCUGUCGCAUGAUGGGUCUGGGAAAGAUAUUGUUUCGGUGGGGGAUGGGCUCGCGGCCUAUCAGCUUGUUGGUGGGGUGAUGGCCUACCAAGGCGGGGACGGGUAGCCGGCCUGAGAGGGUGGACGGUCACACUGGGAAUGAGACACGGCCAAGACUCCUACGGGAGGCAGCAGUGGGGAAUAUGGCACAAUGGGCGCAAGCAUGAUGCAGCGACGCCGCGUGAGGGAUGGAGGCCUUCGGGUUGUGAACCUCUUUCGCCAGUGAAGCAGGCCUGCCUCGUUUGUGGGUGGGUUGACAGUAGCUGGAGAAGAAGCGCCGGCUAACUACGUG